UGAAUAAGAGCUUGAACCAUAAUCCCUUAUUGUCCUUUGUAUUUUUCAGUGAUUUUGCUAGUCUUCAUCGCCACCAUUGUCGUCUUCCUGGUGCUAGUAUGUGCUCUACUCUUUGUUAUCAGGGCUCAGAGGACUCAACACAACCUGCUUAAGAGUCAGGGGUCAGGUAACGCUAGCACAGUUGCUAUGAGCCAACAUCUACCAAGUGGAAAAGGAGAUGAGGAACCCAACAAAAAAUGAGGGCAUUUAUGCUAACACCACUGAGCUGAAGAAACCAGGUGUCACCCAACCUGCAACUACCUCUGAGCCAACCAGCACCAACUUACCAAGCUCAA